CAGCAGCCACGGUAAAACGAAGGGUGCAAGCGUUACUCGGAAUUACUGGGCGUAAAGCGUGCGUAGGUGGUGGUUUAAGUCCGUUGUGAAAGCCCUGGGCUCAACCUGGGAAUUGCAGUGGAUACUGGGUCACUAGAGUGUGGUAGAGGAUAGUGGAAUUUCCGGUGUAGCAGUGAAAUGCGUAGAGAUCGGAAGGAACAUCUGUGGCGAAGGCGACUAUCUGGGCCAACACUGACACUGAGGCACGAAAGCGUGGGGAGCAAACAGGAUUAGAUACCCCAGUAGUCCCUGUCUCUAUACA
rnacentral:rRNA from 1 species